rnacentral:rRNA from 1 species
AGAGUUUGAUCAUGGCUCAGGAUGAACCUAGCGGCAGGCUUAAUACAUGCAAGUCGAGGGGUAACAUGGGUAGCAAUACCUGAUGACGACCGGCAAACGGGUGCGGAACACGUACGCAACCUUCCCAUAACUGGUGAAUAGCCCUCCGAAAGGAGGAUUAAUACACCGUAACAUAAUGAAGUGGCAUCACUUUAUUAUUAUAGGCUUCGGCCGGUUUUGGAUGGGCGUGCGCCUGAUUAGGUAGUUGGCGGGGUAACGGCCCACCAAGCCUGCGAUCAGUAACUGGUGUGAGAGCACGACCAGUCACACGGGCACUGAGACACGGGCCCGACUCCUACGGGAGGCAGCAGUAAGGAAUAUUGGUCAAUGGACGAAAGUCUGAACCAGCCAUGCCGCGUGAAGGAUGAAGGCCCUCUGGGUUGUAAACUUCUUUUAUCUGGGACGAAAAAAGGGAAUUCUUUCUCACUUGACGGUACCAGAGGAAUAAGCACCGGCUAACUCCGUGCCAGCAGCCGCGGUAAUACGGAGGGUGCAAGCGUUAUCCGGAUUUACUGGGUUUAAAGGGUGCGUAGGUGGGUCUGUAAGUCAGUGGUGAAAUCUCCGGGCUUAACUCGGAAACUGCCAUUGAUACUAUAGAUCUUGAAUUAUCUGGAGGUAAGCGGAAUAUGUCAUGUAGCGGUGAAAUGCUUAGAUAUGACAUAGAACACCCAUUGCGAAGGCAGCUUACUACGGAUACAUUGACACUGAUGCACGAAAGCGUGGGGAUCAAACAGGAUUAGAUACCCUAGUAGUCC